AAAAAAAGAAGGGACGGUAAAAAAAAGCCUUCCUUAGGUGUUUGUCUUGCCCUCUCGUUUGCUUUUCUCUUUUUUUUUUUUAUAUU
rnacentral:ribozyme from 1 species